CCGUCUCUGACCAGCCUCUUCCCCUCUGAUGCAUCUCUGCAUAUAUUUUACUGGCUUGAAGCGGACAGUUUAGGUGCCCCGAGCCCUGUAGCCACGAGUCAAGUACACCGAUUAUUGGGUUGAGCACGAUGUGUGGAAUCGGAGGUUCACAUCUGCCCAGGGACGCAGUGACUCGCCAAAUGGAGGUGUGUGCCGGUCAGUGGUGUUUCGUGUGGGGUCACACUGGCUGUCAUUCCUGUCACAAGCUCUUCCUCUCUCCUUUAUGGAUUCGGCGGUGUCCGGGCUGUGCUGUUUCAGUCGCCUGACUCAGUCCCCACUGAGGCAAUAUUACUGGUAUUUGUGUGCACCGUUCACACUUCCAAACCCGUGUGCGUUUUCGCAAAACUCGCCCUGCAAACAUACAAAUCGACGUGUCCGGGCUCCACACGCCUGUUGUGUGAGGUCGAAGGCGACUCUGAGAAGCACUGGUGGGAAAGAGACGGUAACUUCUAGCGCCUUGGGCGUCUUCUCGGUGGUGGAUCCCGCUGCCGGGAGCAAACAGGACGCUCCUUCUGAAACUCCACGGCGGGUGCCUCGCACGUUCUGCGUGAAGGUUCGCUGUCUCCCGGCACAUCCCACUGUGUCCAAUCACGCAGAUGUUUUCUGACCAAAGCAAGUCAUAUUCUCUUCACCUGUAAAAUGGGACCAGGACUGGUGAUUACUUCCAGGGCUUGUAGGGAGAGUAAGAUUACUCAGUCCAGCAUGACAGCCAAAUAAGCCAGGCUGUAAGGCGGCCCCUGCCCCCAGAGCCCACGCAGGCCACGCGUUGGCUGCCGGUGCUGGUCUCUCACCACGCGGUCUGAAGGCGGUCCUGGUGUUCAGGCUGCAGGGUCCCCGCUGUGCUCUUCAACGACCUUGGCGCCUGGCCCUUCCUCGCUCCUUCCUCAGUCCUUCUGCAAAGCCGGGCCCCCCCGCCCCCUGCUCUGUGCUCUAUCUUCCCGCGGGAAGUAAUGCACGGCGUGUGCCUGUGGGGGUGAGCUCCGGAAUUUGCUGGAAGCGUUUCUAAAAUGUGGGUGGACUUCCUGCCCAAACAGUGGCUUUUAGGAUUGUUGCGUUAAAACUUCUCGAUCUGUCAUUUUAUUUAUAAUACAACUACUCUUGCUACUACUAAAAAUAAACUGGAAAUAACCUAAAUGUACCUUAAUUCAGGAUUGGAAUUUUCAACAGUAGACACUCAAAUGUUAAUUGAUGAGGAAAACAGUCCACGCGUAUAAGAUGCAAAUGGUAACGUAUGAGACGGGAAAUUGGUAAAAGUUGUAUUUUAA